CCUACGUGAGUCAGCAGUGGGGAAUAUUGCACAAUGGGGGAAACCCUGAUGCAGCGCCGCCGCGUGAGCGAUGACGUAUUUCGUUAUGUAAAGCUCUAUCAGCAGGGAAGAACAUGACGGUACCUGACUAAGAAGCCCCUGCUAACUACGUGCCAGCUGCCGCGGUAAUACGUAGGGGGCAAGCGUUAUCCGGAUUUACUGGGUGUAAAGGGCGCGUAGACGGCUUUGCAAGCCAUAUGUGAAAGGCUGGGGCUCAACACCAGUACUGCAUUUGGAAAUGUCAUGCUAGAGUGUCGGAGAGGCAGGCGGAAUGCCUAGUGUAGCGGUGAAAUGCGUAGAUAUUAGGAGGAACACCAGUGGCGAAGGCGGCCUGCUGGACGAUGACUGACGUUGAGGCUCGAAAGCGUGGGGAGCAAACAGGAUUAGAUACCCUUGUAGUC
rnacentral:rRNA from 1 species